ACGCUGGCGGCGCGCCUAACACAUGCAAGUCGAACGAGCGAGAGAGAGCUUGCUUUCUCGAGCGAGUGGCGAACGGGUGAGUAACGCGUGAGGAACCUGCCUCAAAGAGGGGGACAACAGUUGGAAACGACUGCUAAUACCGCAUAAGCCCACGGUGCCGCAUGGCACAGAGGGAAAAGGAGCAAUCCGCUUUGAGAUGGCCUCGCGUCCGAUUAGCUAGUUGGUGAGGUAAUGGCCCACCAAGGCGACGAUCGGUAGCCGGACUGAGAGGUUGAACGGCCACAUUGGGACUGAGACACGGCCCAGACUCCUACGGGAGGCAGCAGUGGGGAAUAUUGCACAAUGGGGGAAACCCUGAUGCAGCGACGCCGCGUGGAGGAAGAAGGUCUUCGGAUUGUAAACUCCUGUUGUUGGGGAAGAUAAUGACGGUACCCAACAAGGAAGUGACGGCUAACUACGUGCCAGCAGCCGCGGUAAAACGUAGGUCACAAGCGUUGUCCGGAAUUACUGGGUGUAAAGGGAGCGCAGGCGGGAAGACAAGUUGGAAGUGAAAUCUAUGGGCUCAACCCAUAAACUGCUUUCAAAACUGUUUUUCUUGAGUAGUGCAGAGGUAGGCGGAAUUCCCGGUGUAGCGGUGGAAUGCGUAGAUAUCGGGAGGAACACCAGUGGCGAAGGCGGCCUACUGGGCACCAACUGACGCUGAGGCUCGAAAGUGUGGGUAGCAAACAGG
rnacentral:rRNA from 1 species